ACACCAAGAAAGAUCACUCUCGCUAGUGUUUCUCUCUCCUCUUACAAGAUCAUAAAAUUGCUCUGUAACUUCCACUCUCUCUCCCGGUCGCCACCUACCAGAGAAGACGGUGGUUGUCGGCCGACAGCGGCGGCGCCACCUUCUUCUCCGACGAAACCCCUCCAAACCAAAACCUAAACCCUAACCCCCUUAUUUCAGGCCCGUGAUUAUGAAUCAGACCUUACUUUGCUCUAAAAGCUCCUCAAACAACCAGAUCGGAACUCCACCCACACCAAAAAAAAAAGUCAAACGAAAGAACAAAGCAUUCAGGCCAACGCAACAAAAUCAAAGCGGUUAGAGAGGAAAUUCAAAAGAAACAAAUAAGACGGAUUCAAAGCUACAACGAAGGCGUUUCGGCGUGAUUAUUUUGUUUUUUUUACGAAUUGUGUAUCAAAGCGAGUAAGACGAGGUAAAACCUUUCAAACAAAAGAGAAGGAAAGAUGGUAUACUUGUUUGGAGACGAAUCGUCGGCGAUGUCUUUUCUUCCACUUUCCGAGAUAAGCUUCCUUCUUCUAAUUUCGAUUCUUUCUCCUUCUUCUAAUUUCGAUUCUUUCUCUUUCUUCUAUUUUUUUGACGCUGUAUUUUGAGUCUGAGCUCGUUUAGGUUAGAGUUUCGGUAUGAAACUCUAGCUUAAACCUGAAAACUCUUGAGCUUUAAUGAAAAGGUUCUUAGGGAUUUUUUGGCAGAAUAACAAUAUCCUCUGUUUGGCGUAAUGGCUUGGUAUUCAUAGGGAGAUCGUGAAAGAUAUUCCCUUAAUGAUGAGCUGGUAAUCUUAGGAUAAAUCCGUUAGGAAAUCCUUUGUGCAUCCCAGAUUUCGUGGGGAUCCAAAUGUCACCAUGGAACAUCAAGUGAGGGAUACGACUUAACGUGGGAGUUUUUUUUAACAAAAUGGAGUUUCAAUCGUGUAGAAGAAAUUCUGAAGCUUAGGGAUGAAGUGACGUCAUAAGCGAAACGUAUCCAAAUGUACCAUACACUCACACGCCUAAUGAUGGUUUCUUUGGGAUUUUAUUUAGUUUUCCAAGUAUUCAUUCAAUGUAUUUUUGAAAAUCCACUUCGAAAACCAAUGUCUCUCUUUAAGUUUGCAUUAA